GUUCCCUGCCCAGGUGAGGGUUCCCUGCCCAGGUGAGGAUUCCCUGCCCAGGUGAACGUUCCCUGUGCCCAGGUGAGGGUUCCCUGCCCAGGUGAGGGUUCCCUGCCCAGGUGAGGAUUCCCUGCCCAGGUGAGGGUUCCCUGCCCAGGUGAGGGUUCCCUGCCCAGGUGAGGGUUCCCUGCUCAGGUGAGGGUGCUCAGGGUCUC